CAUAGGUUAAUGAGGCGAACCGGGGGAACUGAAACAUCUAAGUACCCCGAGGAAAAGAAAUCAACCGAGAUUCCCCCAGUAGCGGCGAGCGAACGGGGAGGAGCCCAGAGCCUGAAUCAGUGUGUGUGUUAGUGGAAGCGUCUGGAAAGGCGUGCGAUACAGGGUGACAGCCCCGUACACAAAAAUGCACAUACUGUGAGCUCGAUGAGUAGGGCGGGACACGUGGUAUCCUGUCUGAAUAUGGGGGGACCAUCCUCCAAGGCUAAAUACUCCUGACUGACCGAUAGUGAACCAGUACCGUGAGGGAAAGGCGAAAAGAACCCCGGCGAGGGGAGUGAAAAAGAACCUGAAACCGUGUACGUACAAGCAGUGGGAGCCUCUUAAUGGGGUGACUGCGUACCUUUUGUAUAAUGGGUCAGCGACUUAUAUUCUGUAGCAAGGUUAACCGAAUAGGGGAGCCGAAGGGAAACCGAGUCUUAACUGGGCGUUAAGUUGCAGGGUAUAGACCCGAAACCCGGUGAUCUAGCCAUGGGCAGGUUGAAGGUUGGGUAACACUAACUGGAGGACCGAACCGACUAAUGUUGAAAAAUUAGCGGAUGACUUGUGGCUGGGGGUGAAAGGCCAAUCAAACCGGGAGAUAGCUGGUUCUCCCCGAAAGCUAUUUAGGUAGCGCCUCGUGAAUUCAUCUCCGGGGGUAGAGCACUGUUUCGGCAAGGGGGUCAUCCCGACUUACCAACCCGAUGCAAACUGCGAAUACCGGAGAAUGUUAUCACGGGAGACACACGGCGGGUGCUAACGUCCGUCGUGAAGAGGGAAACAACCCAGACCGCCAGCUAAGGUCCCAAAGUCAUGGUUAAGUGGGAAACGAUGUGGGAAGGCCCAGACAGCCAGGAUGUUGGCUUAGAAGCAGCCAUCAUUUAAAGAAAGCGUAAUAGCUCACUGGUCGAGUCGGCCUGCGCGGAAGAUGUAACGGGGCUAAACCAUGCACCGAAGCUGCGGCAGCGACACUAU
rnacentral:rRNA from 1 species